GAACAGUCUCCUUUCAAGCACCUCUACCAAGAGGGACCACACCUCCUUGGGCAGUCUUUCUCAGUGCUUCUCUAGCUGUACCGUCCCUUAACAUCUCUAGCUGCAGAUCUGUAUACUUCUGCAGAAAUAUGCCGUUGGGAAAAGGCUGCAAAAAUUCUGGCCGCCAUGUAAAUCCCACACUGAAGACUCACUUGGGAAGAAGAAAAGGCACAACAUUUUGUGCUGGCCCUCUAAGUGAAGACUUUGUUAUGGAUGCAUAUGAAAAAAAUCCACUUGUUAUCUACUUUACUUGGAUGAAUUGUUAUCUGACGUGAACAGGAAAUGUAGGCAGAGUCCUGCAGGAGUCCU